GCAUUGUCUGCAAUGUCACAAAGUUAGACACAACUAUAAUAUCCUUCAAAAGGGCACUUUAAAAAAGUCAGAAACAACUUUAAUGUCCUUCCUUUGAAUACUAUACAGCAUGGAACGUGGAUGAGGUAGAGGUACAUCUUUCUCAACAGAUUAAUCUUAUACGUAUAACACAGAACACAAACCCAAUGAUAUCACUGAAAGCUUAAAAACAUUUAAAAAUAUACAGACUGUCUAUGGAUACAUGUGUGUAAAAGAUGCAAUCAUCCACGGUAAUAAUAAGCAUCGAAUUUAAAUUGAAGCUGGGAAGGGAGAAGGGGCAUGGGACCAGGAGGUGCUUUAUCUCUCUCUCUCUUUUUUACAGGUGGCUGGGAAGAUCUAAAGCACAUAUGGCAUAAAGAUAGGACGAAAUGAUAACACACAUGCAUUUGCUAUCUUAUUCUCCAUAUUUCCUGUUUGCCUGAAAUUGUUCAUAAUAGAAAAAUACUGUGUUCUGCACAUUUUAAAGAUACCAACAGACAUCAUCCCUUUUCCUAGGGGCCUUCCAAGGCAGCCAGGGCAAAUGUCUCUCUUAUGGACCGAUGAUGAGGGUGAAGGAGGAGUGGGCAGGCGGGCACACGAUUUACCAUCAGAGGGCUCGGAGCCCCUGGGCAUCACAUUGCGAGGCUCACGCCACUCAUUCCGUAAUUUAUGUAACACAGGGAACUGGACCAUGGCGCAAUUCAGGGUAGGGUAGGCGGCCGAAGGAGAGGACAGCCUCUUCCCUUCUGGAACAAACCGCAGCCUGAGGAAGGACAAUGACAUAACUUGACAAAAAGGGAAGAAGACAGGCUGCCCCGGUCAUCUGACAGCUUUUCAAUGAAUCUGUAAUUCUUUCGUGGAGAGGCUGAGUAUUCACUGUGCACCUGCGGAGGAGGAGGAAGUGAGAGAAGUGACCUCCGGUCUGGUCACUUCGCCUUCAGAGCGCUGCACCCUGGGCCAACAGGAUGCUGCAGUCGGGGCGCAAGCCUGGAGAUCCGCUCCGGGAUUGGUCCCUUCCAUGCUCUGCCUUUCAGCUCUUCUUCUUUUCAAACUGAGAAGGUGGACUGCCAUGUCAAGGACACAAACGAAUGACCGAAGAGAAAAAAGUAAUGCAUACAUCACGGGAUGUGUUUGACAAAUGUGAAGUUCAACCUAGCAAUGAGAGAGAGAUGCUCUUAAUCUCCUCUGAGGCUCCAUGAGAACAUGAUCUGCUUCCUUCUUCUGGUUUCCAGCUUCUUUAAUACCAAAAACUUCUCCUUGAAAUGCGAGAUCUUUGAAGAGUCCAUCUCGAGAUUUCCAGAGGGUUCAUUUAAGCCAAAUGCUCUUCGUACAAGUCAGACCAAGGAUCUCCAUCUGUAAGUUAAUUACAAAUUCCACAGCAGGCAAGCCAAGCAAUAGAUUGCAGAGACUUAUCCAAGCUCGCUACAGAUUCAUCCAGAAUAUGAUCCACCGGAGAUGCAGGAUAACGUCUGAGGCUAUUCCUCAUACACAAAAGUGCCACGAAACAAGGGAGUUUCUUGGUGGUGACGGAAUGGUUCUGUAUCCUGAUGACAGGGGUGGUUACGGGGACCUAGACAUGGGGUGAAGUGCACAUACGGGCCCACACCAAUGAGUGCAUGUGAAACCUGGUGAAAUCUGAAGAAGAUUCUGGAGAUUUCACUCGUGUCAGUUUCCUGGUGUUGGUUGGGUGUAUCCUCUACCUACAUUAUACCCGAAGCUUGAGUUAGGCAAGACACUACCAUUGGGGGAAACCAGAUGAAGAGUACCUGGGACCUCUCUGUGCUAUUUUUGCGACUUCCCGUGAGUCUAUAUUUAUUGCAAAACAAAAAGUUUCAAAAGUGGCAUGACCAAGUUAGCACUUGUCCAGCAGUAGCUCGCCUAUCUUAACCUAAUUGUAUUUGAAGGUCUAGGCUGCUGCUUUUUUCUACUCCCUGUACUUUAAAGUAUUUCCUAUGACCCUUCUCUAAGAAAUGAAGUCAACCUAUCUUCUCAUCUGUACAUCGUGCUCUCUGAAUAGGAGGGCCGUGGAGAGGGGCUGCGGAGGGACAACGGGUUCUGAAUGGCUCACAGCCGGCUCACCAGCAUCAGGCAUCACCACCAGCGUUCUGAGAAGAUAGUAGCUUUCAGCUGUUUCAUGGGUAUUUCUAAUGACACAGAGGUUUAAAGAGUAAUCAGGUCCUAGCACCAAGAGGCAAACAUAGAGAUGAGGCCAUUGGCUAAGGAACAGGGAGGAGAGAAGAGUCUAAGUCAGGCCAAGACCUGGCUCUUUUUUUCUGUCUCCACAAGCUUCUCCCAGGACUUCUCGUGGCUCUGCCUCCUCUUACAAGCCUGGAGCCAAAGCAAGAUCCCCUGUGACACUCUAAUCCAAACGUGUCCUCCCCCUGCCCCAGCUACCCGGCAUUAUCCUUUUGGUUGUCUACCAUCACCUUACCUUUGGCUUUACUCAUUUAUCAGCUCUAUUUCUGCAUUCAGAUAUGAGCUCCAGGAGCAGCCUGUCCCCUCUCUUCACCAGCAUAGCCCCAACACUGAGGACGACAGUGCGGUAACUAUUUACUGACUAAAUGAGAAAAUGCGUAACACAUCUCUAAAACAAUGGCCAUUAGACCAUGGAAAAUCUCAAACAGAUCAUUAUUAAAUGACACAGAGCCUUCAUUAACAAUCAUUCAGGCUGGUUUGCGUAUGCCAAGAUCAUUUUACAUUUGGCUAAGAGAGUAAACAUAACAAAAAUUCGAGCGGUGGUUUUUAGUGCUAGCAGCAGAGUUCAAGAGCUAUGGGAAUCCCAAUGGAAAGACGUGAUUCCUGUUGAAUUUUCUGUCUGAGGUAGAAAGAGACCAGUAGCAGGUGAGGAGAUAGAUGGGGAGACAGGAAUAAGCGUCUAUCUGAAUACACACACGCGCGCGCGCACUUUCUCAUUUCCAAAGAUGUAAUGAGAUCUUGAUGCUUCCUUUACCCUUGUUAAGUCAGCCUGCAAUGAAUGGGGAGUCCCCUGGGAGUGGACAGAAAAGCACCAGGGAGACAGGUAUGGUGGGAAUGGUGGCACAGGCAGGCAGAAAGAACGCAGAAGGAGCCCCGGUGAGACACGGAGAGCAUCCCGGAUGGUGUCGCCAGCUCCACUGUGUGGGCUCCUAAGGGUCGUGAGAGCUCAGGAGUGAGGGCUGCCCUGUCACCAAAUCAUCAGUCUGGAGCUGUCUUCCCCCUGGAAUAAAGUCACAUCACUGUUCAAAACAGGAAAGGCUUUGGACCCACCACACUCAAGAUGUCAGAGGAAA